rnacentral:rRNA from 1 species
GACGUAGGGCGCGAGCGUUGUCCGGAUUUAUUGGGCGUAAAGAGCUCGUAGGCGGCUUGUCGCGUCGGCUGUGAAAUCCCGUGGCUCAACUGCGGGUCUGCAGCCGAUACGGCAGCGUAGAGUUCGGUAGGGGAGACUGGAAUUCCUGGUGUAGCGGUGAAAUGCGCAGAUAUCAGGAGGAACACCGGUGGCGAAGGCGGGUCUCUGGGCCGAUACUGACGCUGAGGAGCGAAAGCGUGGGGAGCGAACAGG